rnacentral:rRNA from 1 species
GAUGAGCGCUGGCGGCGUGCCUAAUACAUGCAAGUCGAGCGAACGGACGAGAAGCUUGCUUCUCUGAUGUUAGCGGCGGACGGGUGAGUAACACGUGGAUAACCUACCUAUAAGGCUGGGAUAACUUCGGGAAACCGGAGCUAAUACCGGAUAAUAUUUUGAACCGCAUGGUUCAAAAGUGAAAGACGGUCUUGCUGUCACUUAUAGAUGGAUCCGCGCUGCAUUAGCUAGUUGGUAAGGUAACGGCUUACCAAGGCAACGAUGCAUAGCCGACCUGAGAGGGUGAUCGGCCACACUGGAACUGAGACACGGUCCAGACUCCUACGGGAGGCAGCAGUAGGGAAUCUUCCGCAAUGGGCGAAAGCCUGACGGAGCAACGCCGCGUGAGUGAUGAAGGUCUUCGGAUCGUAAAACUCUGUUAUUAGGGAAGAACAUAUGUGUAAGUAACUGUGCACAUCUUGACGGUACCUAAUCAGAAAGCCACGGCUAACUACGUGCCAGCAGCCGCGGUAAUACGUAGGUGGCAAGCGUUAUCCGGAAUUAUUGGGCGUAAAGCGCGCGUAGGCGGUUUUUUAAGUCUGAUGUGAAAGCCCACGGCUCAACCGUGGAGGGUCAUUGGAAACUGGAAAACUUGAGUGCAGAAGAGGAAAGUGGAAUUCCAUGCGUAGCGGUGAAAUGCGCAGAGAUAUGGAGGAACACCAGUGGCGAAGGCGACUUUCUGGUCUGUAACUGACGCUGAUGUGCGAAAGCGUGGGGAUCAAACAGGAUUAGAUACCCUGGUAGUCCACGCCGUAAACGAUGAGUGCUAAGUGUUAGGGGGUUUCCGCCCCUUAGUGCUGCAGCUAACGCAUUAAGCACUCCGCCUGGGGAGUACGACCGCAAGGUUGAAACUCAAAGGAAUUGACGGGGACCCGCACAAGCGGUGGAGCAUGUGGUUUAAUUCGAAGCAACGCGAAGAACCUUACCAAAUCUUGACAUCCUUUGACAACUCUAGAGAUAGAGCUUUCCCCUUCGGGGGACAAAGUGACAGGUGGUGCAUGGUUGUCGUCAGCUCGUGUCGUGAGAUGUUGGGUUAAGUCCCGCAACGAGCGCAACCCUUAAGCUUAGUUGCCAUCAUUAAGUUGGGCACUCUAAGUUGACUGCCGGUGACAAACCGGAGGAAGGUGGGGAUGACGUCAAAUCAUCAUGCCCCUUAUGAUUUGGGCUACACACGUGCUACAAUGGACAAUACAAAGGGCAGCGAAACCGCGAGGUCAAGCAAAUCCCAUAAAGUUGUUCUCAGUUCGGAUUGUAGUCUGCAACUCGACUACAUGAAGCUGGAAUCGCUAGUAAUCGUAGAUCAGCAUGCUACGGUGAAUACGUUCCCGGGUCU